rnacentral:lncRNA from 1 species
GGGGUCCCAAUUGAAGGGAGGUACACCCUAAUCCCUUAUUUCUUACUUUAUUUGACUCUAGGUGCCCUAUGUGACUUUACAUGUUUGAUUGUAUGCCUCUUGAAUGUUUUUUAUUCAUUUCAUUUAUUUAUUUAUUUGCUUUAUUGGCUUUGUAUAUUUAUUUUAGUUCAAUUUGAUUAUUUGAAAGGCAAUUUAAUGCCAAGGUUGUAAUAGUUAGGUUAUUAUAUCACUUUAUUUAAUUCAUUCCCCCUUAGAUUGUAGUAGGGCUCCCCAAAUGUAAUAGUUAGGGCUUAUGUGCUAUUUGCCUUGUGUGUUUUUGCAUGCCUAUGUGUUAUGUGUUACUCGCUUUCCUAGGGUCUUACAUCUAGAUAUCAUGCUUACGUGUUAUGUGUUUUAUGUGGUUUAUGUGUUUAUUUGCUUUAUUAUGCUUUACAUGAUUUAUUUGAUUGUAAUGAAUGUGUGACGUCACCACACUAGUCCAACGCUAGUUGUGGUCUUUUUUCCGUCACCACACUAGUCCAACGCUAGUUGUGGCCCCUUUGUUCCGAUUUUCCACUAGUCCAAUGCUAGUAGGAAUUCAUAGACAUGGGCUAGUCCAACGCUAGACCUUUAGGGACCGUCUACGCGUUAGAUCAUGUUUGUGUGAAUCACUACAUUUCAUGCAUGUUUUUCACCUUUUAGGGUUUUUACCAUGUUGCAUGACACUUUCUUAUAUAUGUUCAUCCUUUAUUCCAUAUUCCCUUCUAUUUAUAUCCCCUAUUUUGUAUUUUUCCUUACAUGUAUAUUCCUUACCCCUUUGUAUGAAAACAUAACAUUAGACUUGCAUUUCACUUAAGAAUUAGAGUUAGGGUAGUACAUUUGCAUGAUUAGAUAGGAAAACCCCCUUUGAGUAUGGGAUAUGGACGAGUUUGGCUUCUCUAGCCUUAGCACGCUCGUAUUCCCUCUAUUAAAGGGAACAUUGAAGUCACGAGUAUAAGUUCCCCGCACCCAUUAUGAUUCAUUCCUUUAGGUCAUACACAUUUGUAUAUUAUUAUUUUCUUUACUUUUACUUUCUUUUGAGUCUCAUGACUUGCAUUAUUCGUGACUUCUUCGAAGAGUCUUUAUGGGGCGUCACAAUUAAUAUGAUUGGUACCAAGUAAGUUUUGAAGAUAAAUUUCGACCCCCCGACACCCUCCUAGGUCUAGGGUAUGCAUUCAUAUAGUACAUCCAAAUGUGAUAAAUCUUUAGGUUAAAAUAAGAAAAUCUUUGACUAAAUCGCGCAACUAGCCUUGGCUAGGUUGAAAGGGUGCCUUGGAUUCUUAUCCUUGCCUUCCCUUUCUUCAAAUGUGACUCCCGAAUCUUUUUCUCUGAUUUUCAUUGACUUGGAGUCGUUUAAAAAGGGUUUUCUAUUAUUUUUCUUUAAAAAAUUCAUUUUUAGGUGACUUGGUACACCUUAACUCUAUAUCAAGUGGCGACUCCAUUUUUCAUUCAACAAACCCUUUUUAAACUAUAUUUUGGGUCAAAUCGUCGCAUUUUCAAGUCCCAUUUAGACCCAUUUUUUUUAUUUUCUUUUAAAUUAAAAAUUUAUUUUUCAAUAAAAAAUUGAAUCAAAAGCCAUUUUUCUAAACUCGUCUUUUAUUUGUUUUUAUUAAAAAAUGGGGCGCGACAGUAUUUCUAUGGAUUUUAAUGGUGAAAAUUUCAUAUUUUUGUAGGUUUAAUAAUUUAAUCAUCAAAGGGAGUGAAUUGAGAAGAGAAUUGGAUGAUUGUUAAUGAUUUGAAGUGGUUUUAAGAAGACAUGUAGAGUAAAACAUUCAAAUGAAGAAAUGCGAGUGAAGAUAGUUUUGACACAUCGUGGUAUUUUGGCAAUAUCUUGAACAACAAGCAUCAAAUUGAGGUGAUUCUUAUACCACUUUGAAGCUACGAGAUAGAUAUACAUUUAGUGUGCAGACAUCAAAAUCCAGUUCAGUCAUCUUCCUUGUCAAAAAGUUGAAAUACAAAAGUGCAUGAUGAAAUAGAGCUCUGACCAGUUGAUGGUGUUUUGGUUAUAUCUCGGUCCACAGACCUCCAAAUAUGAUGAUUUUUAAAGCAUUGGAAAGCUAACUCAAAUAGCUACAAAUUUCAUGUUUUGUACAAAAGCUAGUUUGGCCUCUAUCUAUAAGAAAAUAGCAGUUAAAUUAAUUCUAAAUUCACAGAAGUGAAUACGUGACUAUUGAA